GAUGAACGCUGGCGGCGUGCCUAAUACAUGCAAGUCGAACGCAUUGUGGUUGAAAUGAUAUGAAGAACUUGUUCAGAUUUGAUUUUCAACAUUGCAAUGAGUGGCGAACGGGUGAGUAACACGUGGGAAACCUACCUCUUAGCAGGGGAUAACAUUUGGAAACAAAUGCUAAUACCGUAUAAUAAUUAAAACCGCAUGGUUUUAGUUUAAAAGAUGGUCUUGCUAUCACUAAGAGAUGGUCCCGCGGUGUAUUAGUUAGUUGGUGAGGUAAUGGCUCACCAAGACAAUGAUACAUAGCCGAGUUGAGAGACUGACCGGCCACAAUGGGACUGAGACACGGCCCAUACUCCUACGGGAGGCAGCAGUAGGGAAUCUUCCACAAUGGACGAAAGUCUGAUGGAGCAACGCCGCGUGUGUGAUGAAGGGUUUCGGCUCGUAAACACUGUUGUAAGAGAAGAAUGACAUUGAGAGUAACUGUUCAAUGUGUGACGGUAUCUUAACC
rnacentral:rRNA from 1 species